AGAGUUGAUCGAUGGCUCAGGACGAACGCUGGCGGCGUGCGUUAACACAUGCAAGUCGAACGGGGAUAUGCGAGCGGAAGGCUUCGGCCGGAAGGUUGCAUAUUCGAGUGGCGGACGGGUGAGUAACGCGUGAACAAUCUGUCCCAGACAGGGGGAUAACACUUGGAAACAGGUGCUAAUACCGCAUAAGACCACGGAGUCGCAUGGCACUGGGGUAAAAGGAGCAAUCCGGUUUGGGGUGAGUUCGCGUCCGAUUAGCCAGUUGGUGAGGUAACGGCCCACCAAAGCGACGAUCGGUAGCCGACCUGAGAGGGUGAUCGGCCACAUUGGAACUGAGAGACGGUCCAAACUCCUACGGGGGGCAGCAGUGGGGAAUAUUGGGCAAUGGGCGAAAGCCUGACCCAGCAACGCCGCGUGAGUGAAGAAGGCCUUCGGGUUGUAAAGCUCUGUUAUAGGGGACGAAGGAAGUGACGGUACCCUAUAAGGAAGCCCCGGCUAACUACGUGCCAGCAGCUGC
rnacentral:rRNA from 1 species